rnacentral:rRNA from 1 species
UACGAAGGGUGCAAGCGUUACUCGGAAUUACUGGGCGUAAAGGGUGCGUAGGUGGUUUGUUAAGUCUGCUGUGAAAUCCCCGGGCUCAACCUGGGAAUGGCAGUGGAUACUGGCAAGCUAGAGUGCGGUAGAGGGUAGUGGAAUUCCCGGUGUAGCAGUGAAAUGCGUAGAGAUCGGGAGGAACACCAGUGGCGAAGGCGGCCAUCUGGGACAACACUGACGCUGAGGCACGAAAGCGUGGGGAGCAAACAGG